rnacentral:rRNA from 1 species
CAGCCGCCGCGGGAAUACGUAGGUGGCAAGCGUUGUCCGGAAUUAUUGGGCGUAAAGCGCGCGCAGGUGGCUUAAUAAGUCUGAUGUGAAAGCCCACGGCUCAACCGUGGAGGGUCAUUGGAAACUGUUAAACUUGAGUGCAGGAGAGAGAAGUGGAAUUCCUAGUGUAGCGGUGAAAUGCGUAGAGAUUAGGAGGAACACCAGUGGCGAAGGCGGCUUUUUGGCCUGUAACUGACACUGAGGCGCGAAAGCGUGGGGAGCAAACAGGAUUAGAUACCCGGGUAGUCCCUGUCUCUUAUAC